rnacentral:lncRNA from 1 species
GUACAUUUACAGGUUUCUUCUGGUUUGAUCGUUGAUGUUGUAAGUACUCAACACAUUUAAAAAGAGAUCCGAUUAACUUUCAGACAUUUUACUGCUUAAUCGUUGAGGACGGUCGCUGUGAUCGGGUCGCUGUUACAGCAGGAGGGACGAUGUCGGUGUUGUGAAUUAUUGAUGUGGUUAGUUUACACGAUAUGACAAUGUCAGCAGUCAAUCCAAGACUUUAAAUCUCCAGAGUUUACUCAGAUUACACCGUCGUCAUCUUUAUCAUCACGACUCCGACGAGGAGACAAACGAGCUCCACAUUUCUGUCUUGGAUCGUCUCCCUCCACCUCUCAUGUGUGUUUUCUCCAGAGCAGUGGAGUGUUUGUUCUCUCUCGUCGCCUCGGGGGCCAAAAGGAAAACUUAAACUCACCGACUUUCUUCUGAAACACUUUGGACAGCUGUGAGAACCGAAGUUAAUCAGAUCAAUGUCACAGAUUAGACUUUGGCCCCUUUAUGUCUCAGAACGCAGAGUGAAGCUGUCAGGUUGUUUGUGUGUGUUUACCUUCGUUCAACUGCUCCCAUAUGUGUGUGUGUGUGUGUGUGUGUGUGUGUGUGUGUGUGUGUGUGUGUGUUUUAAUCAAUAAUGUCGGGUGUUGUGCAAGUGUGUGUGUUCAUGUCGUCUCUACCUGCAGAUAGUUUCAGGCGUGUUUUCAGUUCGUACACACGUCUGUGACUUGUGUGCAUCGGACCACAGCGCUGUUCGAUUAGCAGCUGCCAGGUGUGUGUGUGUGUGUGUGUGUGUGUGUGUGUGUGUGUGUGUGUGUGUGUGUGUUGUUAUCUCGGCGCCGUCGGCCAUCGCCGCUCAUCUUCAUGCGCUCUGCACUCUCGACAGGUUUCUUCCCCCUGAUGAUGUUUUUCUGUCGAGGUUCUUGCGAGAAUUUAAGGAACAGGCUGCAGGUUGGAAGUCAGAUUGAGUCUGAGUGCGUUUCAAUGUCAGACACAAACCUUCAGGCGUCUGACCCGCCCUCCACAUCGAUGUCAUGAGUCCAAUCAAGCUCAGAAUCGAACUCAGACAGAUUCUCCGUCAGAACUCGCGUGUCUGUUUUCCCUUGAACGCACCGCAGACGGUCGAACGUCGGCGCUGUUGACAGACGAGUAUCGAGCUUGUCCUCCACAGGUGUGCAGCCUAAGGCGACUGAAACACGGUCAUCAACACAAAUCCAUAUCUCCCACUGUGUGUUUGCUUAGCGACAUCACGUGUGUGUGUGUGUGUGUGUGUGUGUGUGUGUGUGUGUGUGUGUGUGUGUGUGUGUGUGUGUGUGUGUGUGUGUUGCAGACAGCGAGCUUCCAGACGGGGUAACAGGGAACAUCACCAAAACAAUGAUGCCAUCGC